GAACAUGAUCCAGAUACUCCUGGCUGUGCCCCAGGGGUAGAGAAAGGAGGAAAAUAUCUCAUGUAUCCAUAUUCUGUAAGCGGGUAUGAGCAUAAUAAUCAAAUUUUUUCUUCCUGUAGUAGAAGAUAUAUUUAUAAUGUGAUAAAAUCCAAGGGACCUGGGUGCUUCACAGAGAGUAAUACUCUGACCGUCUGUGGUAAUGGUCGGAUAGAGGCGGAUGAAGAAUGUGAUGCCGGAUUCAAUGGGGACCACUGCUGUUCAUCUCAGUGUAAACUACAGAGUGGAGCCAUCUGUAGUCCGAUGAACCAUGAGUGUUGUGAUAAUAAAUGCCGUACUGCUGACAAUAAUACUAUUUGUCAUGCCUUGCCUGAUAAUCUGGUCACGUGUAAAGGGAUUUCUAAGUGCAAUGGUGUAGAUUUGACUUGCCCAGAAGCUGGGAAUAAAGACGACAACUCGACUUGUGUGGAUGGAGGAAAGUGUAAGAAUGGAGUAUGUCUAAACUAUUGUGAGCUCCUUGACAAAGUUCCAUGUAUUUGCUCCAAAGAGAGUGGAUAUGCAUGUUACCGCUGUUGUAAAGCAUUGAAUGCCUCAGAAUGCUUGCCCGAGCCCCCACCCCCUGCCUUUUUCCAGAAACUUCCCAAUGGCAGGCCAUGUUUUCAUGGUGUUUGUGUGGAAGGUGUGUGUGAGAAACAAAAGAAUCAUAUUGUUCAGAGAUUAUUCAGCAUUAUUGAUACCAUUACUGUUGAUCAGUUUGUUGAGUUUAUGAAAACCAAUAUUGUUGGUACCAUUCUUGUGUUCUCCUUGUUGCUGUGGAUUCCUGCUAGCUGUACAUUUAGCCAUUUUGAUAAAAAGAGAGAAAAAAGAUUGAGAAUGAGGCAUGGAAGGUGGAAAAGUCAUUCAAGAUACACCUUGCUUAUGGAUUGUCUGGAUGCUGAGGACAGACAGAGGAUCAAGCAGGCGGGAAGUUUCCGUGUGAAACAUGUCGGAGGCAGCGUGAUCCGUCAUUCUGCCAUCCGUGCAGGACACAUGUACUUAACUCAAUCCAAUUUCAACAAAGAGGUUUUACAGUAUGCAGACGAUUUGAAGGAGUCUUCGGUGUGAUCAGUGUGAAUGAGAGAGACAGCUGUGUUCUGCUUGUAUUGCCUUAAUCUUUCAAUCGUUGUGUGAUAGUCUUAUAACCAAAAGUGCAUUAUUUCAUGUCUAACAGGUAAUUCUCAGUCAACUCAUACAACACAUAUAUUUUACAAGACGGUUUUAUUUUUUAUUAUGUUAUAAAUGUUUUAUUGUGAUUGGGAACAAGUAUAUUUGUUUAUAUUGCACAGAGAGUGCAUUUUGUAUUUGAUCUUCUUAAAUCCAAAUUUUAUGAAUUUUUAUGCUUUAAGAGAUUUAUUAAAUGAUUUUAAUUUG
rnacentral:misc_RNA from 1 species